rnacentral:lncRNA from 1 species
AUCUGGAAGCAGAGCAAAGCAUCUGAGCCCAGUGCUCUCUGGUACUAGAUAACCAAGGACACUGAGCUCAAGAGCUCUGAGAAUGGCAGCACCCCCUAGACCACCAGUUCUACUUCCAGACCAAUACAGCUUCCAAAGCCAUUUUCCUGGGAAGCAACUUAUGUGGAGACUGGGGAUGUAACCUGGAAGUUGCUUCUAUGGACAGCACAGUCCCUCUUUCCUCAUUAACCAUGGGUAUUGAAGUAAAGAAAAGAAAGCUACUGAGUGGUGGAACAUGACUUCUCACAGGAGCUCAGGUACAAUGAAAAGAUGAAUGGGAAAGGAGGGAGACUCUCUCCAACCAAUGAAUGAAC